rnacentral:rRNA from 1 species
GUAGSCGGAAUKGCGKKGKGUAGCGGUGAAAUGCAUAGRWWUCMCSCAGAACUUCCGAUUGCGAAGGCAGCUUACUAAGCUACAACUGACACUGAAGCACGAAGCGUGGGGAUCAAACAGGAUUAGAUACCCUGGUAGUCCACGCAGUAAACGAUGAUUACUAGCUGUUUGCGAUACACAGUAAGCGGCACAGCGAAAGCGUUAAGUAAUCCACCUGGGGAGUACGCCGGCAACGGUGAAACUCAAAGGAAUUGACGGGGGCCCGCACAAGCGGAGGAACAUGUGGUUUAAUUCGAUGAUACGCGAGGAACCUUACCCGGGUUUGAACGUAGGGAGACAGGAGUGGAAACAUUCUAUUCAGCAAUGACUGCCUACGAGGUGCUGCAUGGUUGUCGUCAGCUCGUGCCGUGAGGUGUCGGCUUAAGUGCCAUAACGAGCGCAACCCUUAUUUCCAGUUACUAACAGGUGAAGCUGAGGACUCUGGAGAGACUGCCAGCGUAAGCUGUGAGGAAGGUGGGGAUGACGUCAAAUCAGCACGGCCCUUACAUCCGGGGCGACACACGUGUUACAAUGGUAAGGACAAAGGGCAGCUACCGGGCGACCGGAUGCGAAUCUCUAAACCUUAUCUCAGUUCGGAUCGGAGUCUGCAACUCGACUCCGUGAAGCUGGAUUCGCUAGUAAUCGCGCAUCAGCCAUGGCGCGGUGAAUACGUUCCCGGGCCUUGUACACACCGCCCGUCACACCACGAAAGUCUGCAACACCCGAAGCCGGUGAGGUAACCCGAAAGGGAGCUAGCCGUCGAAGGUGGGGCCGAUGAUUGGGGUGAAGUCGUAACAAGGUAACC